rnacentral:rRNA from 1 species
AUUGAACGCUGGCGGCAGGCCUAACACAUGCAAGUCGAGCGGAUGAAGGGAGCUUGCUCCUGGAUUCAGCGGCGGACGGGUGAGUAAUGCCUAGGAAUCUGCCUGGUAGUGGGGGAUAACGUCCGGAAACGGGCGCUAAUACCGCAUACGUCCUGAGGGAGAAAGUGGGGGAUCUUCGGACCUCACGCUAUCAGAUGAGCCUAGGUCGGAUUAGCUAGUUGGUGGGGUAAAGGCCUACCAAGGCGACGAUCCGUAACUGGUCUGAGAGGAUGAUCAGUCACACUGGAACUGAGACACGGUCCAGACUCCUACGGGAGGCAGCAGUGGGGAAUAUUGGACAAUGGGCGAAAGCCUGAUCCAGCCAUGCCGCGUGUGUGAAGAAGGUCUUCGGAUUGUAAAGCACUUUAAGUUGGGAGGAAGGGCGGUAAGUUAAUACCUUGCUGUUUUGACGUUACCAACAGAAUAAGCACCGGCUAACUUCGG